rnacentral:rRNA from 1 species
CUCAAUCCCGUGACGGUACUUAACCAGAAGGCACGGCUAACUACGUGCAGCAGCCGCGGUAAUACGUAGGUGGCGAGCGUGAUCGGAUUUAUUGGGCGUAAAGCGAGCGCAGGCGGUUCUUUAAGUGUGAUGUGAAAGCCCUCGGCUCAACCGGGGAGGGUCAUUGGAAACUGGAGAACUUGAGUGCAGAAGAGGAGAGUGGAAUUCCACGUGUAGCGGUGAAAUGCGUAGAUAUGUGGAGGAACACCAGUGGCGAAGGCGACUCUCUGGUCAGUAACUGACGCUGAGGCUCGAAAGCGUGGGGAGCAAACAGGAUUAGAUACCCUGGUAGUCCACGCCGUAAACGAUGAGUGCUAAGUGUUGGAGGGUCUCCGCCCUUCAGUGUUGCAGCUAACGCAUUAAGCACUCCGCUUGGGGAGUAGGGCCGCAAGGUUGAAAUUAAAAGGAAUUGAGGGGGACCCGCCCAAGCGGUGGAUCAUGUGGUUUAAUUGGAAGCAACGGGAAGAACCUUACCAGGUCUGGACAUCCUUUGACCACUCUAGAGAUAGAGCUUUCCCUUCGGGGACAAAGUGACAGGUGGUGCAUGGUUUUCGUCACCUCGUUUCGGGAUAUGUUGGCUUAAUUCCCGCACGGGGCGCAACCCUUUCUAAUAUUUGCCCACAUUUAGUUGGGCACUUUAGUGAGCUCCCCGGUGACUAACCGGAGGAAGGUGGGGACGGUGUCAAAUCUUCAUGCCCCUUAUGGCCUAGGUUACACACCUGUGACAAUCCAUUGUAUAACCAGUUACAAAGUCGGGAGGCCAACCUUACUUUUUAAAUCCCUUAUCACUUCUGUCCGUAGGGAGCCACUCGCUUCCAGGAAGCCGGAAGUGUUAGUAUCCGUUUAUCAGAACGAUCCCCCUAUAACGUUCAGGUUACCCGUACACUACUCACCUCUCACCCCGUGAGUUGGUAACAGCGGAAGCUCGUCAAGUUAACCCGUCGAGCUGCAUGACUAGAAAGAGCCCACU